rnacentral:rRNA from 1 species
CGCAGAAUUCGGCUUAGAGUUUGAUCCUGGCUCAGGAUGAACGCUAGCGGCAGGCUUAACACAUGCAAGUCGAGGGGCAGCACGGGUAGCAAUAUCUGGUGGCGACCGGCGCAAGGGUGCGUAACGCGUGAGCAACAUGCCCGUAUCAGGGGAAUAAUCCAGGGAAACUUGGUCUAAUACCCCAUAGUAAAUAUUAAAGGCAUCUUUAAUAUUUUAAAGCUUUGGUGGAUACGGAUUGGCUCGCGUGACAUUAGCUAGAUGGUAAGGUAACGGCUUACCAUGGCUACGAUGUCUAGGGGUUCUGAGAGGAAGAUCCCCCACACUGGAACUGAGACACGGUCCAGACUCCUACGGGAGGCAGCAGUGAGGAAUAUUGGACAAUGGAUGGAAAUCUGAUCCAGCCAUGCCGCGUGCAGGAAGCCGGCCCUAUGGGUUGUAAGCUGCUUUUAUAUGGGAGCAAUAAGGCCUACGUGUAGGUUGAUGAGAGUACCAUAUGAAUAAGCACCGGCUAUCUCCGUGCACCCGCCGGU